rnacentral:rRNA from 2 species
AGUUAGCGGCGGACGGGUGAKUAACACGUGGGUAACCUGCCCAWAAGACUGGGAUAACUCCGGGAAACCGGGGCUAAUACCGGAUAACAUUUUGAACCGCAKGGUUCGAAAUUGAAAGGCGGCUUCGGCUGUCACUUAUGGAUGGACCCGCGUCGCAUUAGCUAGUUGGUGAGGUAACGGCUCACCAAGGCAACGAUGCGUAGCCRACCUGAGAGGGUGAUCGGCCACACUGGGACUGARACACGGCCCARACUCCUACGGGAGGCAGCAGUAGGGAAUCUUCCGCAAUGGACRAAAGUCUGACGGASCAACSCCGCGUGAGUGAUGAAGGCUUUCGGGUCGUAAAACUCUGUUGUUAGGGAAGAACAAGUGCUAKUUGAAUAAGCUGGCACCUUGACGGUACCUAACCARAAAGCCACGGCUAACUACGUGCCAGCAGCCGCGGUAAUACGUAGGUGGCAAGCGUUAUCCGGAAUUAUUGGGCGUAAAGCGCGCGCAGGUGGUUUCUUAAGUCUGAUGUGAAAGCCCACGGCUCAMCCGUGGAGGGUCAUUGGAAACUGGGAGACUUGAGUGCAAAAGAGGAAAGUGGAAUUCCAUGUGUAGCGGUGAAAUGCGUAGAGAUAUGGAGGAACACCAGUGGCGAAGGCGACUUUCUGGUCUGUAACUGACACUGAGGCGCGAAGCGUGGGGAGCAAACAGGAUUAGAUACCCUG